UACGUAGGGCGCAAGCGUUAUCCGGAAUUAUUGGGCGUAAAGAGCUCGUAGGCGGUUUGUCGCGUCUGCCGUGAAAGUCCGGGGCUCAACUCCGGAUCUGCGGUGGGUACGGGCAGACUAGAGUGAUGUAGGGGGAGACUGGAAUUCCUGGUGUAGCGGUGAAAUGCGCAGAUAUCAGGAGGAACACCGAUGGCGAAGGCAGGUCUCCUGGGCAUUAACUGACGCUGAGGAGCGAAAGCAUGGGGAGCGAACAGG
rnacentral:rRNA from 1 species